GUGGAUUACGGCGGCUGUAACCUGAGCUAGGCCCAACCCUGAGCAAAUGGUGCGCCAGCCAAGUUUGUCUUUGAUGCCCUCUCCCCUUGGCUGGCUCCACCUGCGCCUGAUCACACUGCCCUCAGCCAUCUCCGUGAACUUCAAAGCUGGGGCUCCAUCUAGAGACCAGCUCCACCUAGACAGAGGUUGGGGUGGAGCUUCCCAACGGGCCCAAAUUAGCAGCUCAUAGACUUAACAUUAAUUUCUUCUCAUUGCUGCUUGACUUUGAACUCAGUAUCUCAGUUUUCUCCUUGUCCCUGGCUUUGAACUUCAGUGCCUAGGUGCCAGAAUUAUCUGACUGGGCCCUGAUACCUGCCAGAGGGCCUCCCGAAUUCCAAACACUCUCCUCUGGACUCUGCUCUGACCUCCCCUGCCUGGCCGCCCGGGGUAGACGUCUGGGUGCUGGACGUGUGUGAGAAGCUGCUGAAUGCCCUUGUGCAUGUGGACUCUUCCUCUGGUUUAGGAUGAAGUCCAGGACAGUGGGGAGACGUGGGGCCAGACCUGCCCUUGGCCAACUGGUCUGGACUUUGCCCCUCCUUCCUUCACUGCAGUGUAGCCCUG
rnacentral:lncRNA from 1 species